rnacentral:rRNA from 1 species
UACGGGGGGGGCAAGCGUUGUUCGGAAUUACUGGGCGUAAAGGGCUCGUAGGCGGCCCACUAAGUCCGACGUGAAAUCCCCAGGCUUAACUUGGGAACUGCGUCGGAUACUGGUGGGCUUGAAUCCGGGAGAGGGAUGCGGAAUUCCAGGUGUAGCGGUGAAAUGCGUAGAUAUCAGGAGGAACACCGGUGGCGAAGGCGGGUCUCUGGGCAGUAACUGACGCUGAGGAGCGAAAGCGUGGGGAGCGAACAGG